UCCGGUGUGGCGCAAUUGGUAGCGCACUCGACUGUUAAUCGAGUUGUUACAGGUUCGAGUCCUGUCACCGGAGCCA
rnacentral:tRNA from 3 species